UUUAAUUUAUUUUCUGCUGUUGGUCUACGAUUGAAACAUGUUAUUUCCUAGAGUUUUACGAAGGUUUCAAGAUAAGAGAAAUAUAUCACAUCUUUUUAUUUCUCUUCCUGCAAAAAAUAAAAUCCCUCAAGCGGAAAAGUAUGUGUGCUAUCUUUUUAUGAGUGUUGGCAUAUUAUUUUAUCCAUUAUGGGUCUUAUCCAACAUCAAGGAGUAUCAGAGAAUAGCUAAAGAAAGAAUUGGAUAAUUUUUACAUUACAUAAUUAGAUGUUAAUUUAAUAUAUGCCUAUCUUAUUUAUUUCUUGUAGAAAAUAUUAGAAUUCAACUAAAAUAAUUUCAUCAAAAUUUAUUAAUUUGAUUGUCUAUAUGGAAUGUUAUAUAAUUAUUAAUUGUCAUAAAAUUAAAAAAGAAUUUUUUAAAUCUUAUGUUUCUGAUUUGAUAUUGACAAUAAAACAAUUUAAUUAAUUUA